rnacentral:tRNA from 1 species
GUCUGGGUGGCUUAGUCAGUUGAGUGUCUGACUUCAGCUCAGAUCACGAUUUCACGGUGGUGGGUUCAAGCCCCGCACCGGGCU